CAGUAGCCGCGGUAAUACGAGGGGGGCAAGCGUUGUUCGGAAUUAUUGGGCGUAAAGGGUGCGUAGGCGGUUUGGCAAGUCUUGUGUGAAAUCUUCGGGCUCAACCCGAAGCCUGCACGAGAAACUGCCGGGCUUGAGUAUUGGAGAGGUGAGUGGAAUUUCCGGUGUAGCGGUGAAAUGCGUAGAUAUCGGAAGGAACACCUGUGGCGAAAGCGGCUCACUGGACAAUAACUGACGCUGAUGCACGAAAGCUAGGGGGGCAAACAGGAUUAGAGACCCCGGUAGUCCCUGUCUCUUAUAC
rnacentral:rRNA from 1 species